rnacentral:rRNA from 1 species
GAUGAACGCUGGCGGCGUGCCUAAUACAUGCCAGUCGAGCGAACGGACGAGAAGCUUGCUUCUCUGAUGUUAGCGGCGGACGGGUGAGUAACACGUGGAUAACCUACCUAUAAGACUGGGAUAACUUCGGGAAACCGGAGCUAAUACCGGAUGAUAUUUUGAACCGCAUGGUUCAAAAGUGAAAGACGGUCUUGCUGUCACUUAUAGAUGGAUCCGCGCUGCAUUAGCUAGUUGGUAAGGUAACGGCUUACCAAGGCAACGAUGCAUAGCCGACCUGAGAGGGUGAUCGGCCACACUGGAACUGAGACACGGUCCAGACUCCGACGGGAGGCAGCAGUAGGGAAUCUUCCGCAAUGGGCGAAAGCCUGACGGAGCAACGCCGCGUGAGUGAUGAAGGUCUUCGGAUCGUAAAACUCUGUUAUUAGGGAAGAACAUAUGUGUAAGUAACUGUGCACAUCUUGACGGUACCUAAUCAGAAAGCCACGGCUAACUACGUG